GUACUUGAGGAAUGGCCACGGCUAAUUCCGUGCCAACACCCGCGGUAAUACGGGAGUGGCAAGCGUUAUCCGGAAUUAUUGGGCGUAAAGCGUCCGCAGGCGGCCUUGUAAGUCUGUCGUUAAAGCGUGGAGCUUAACUCCAUUUAAGCGAUGGAAACUACAGGGCUUGAGUGUGGUAGGGGCAGAGGGAAUUCCCGGUGUAGCGGUGAAAUGCGUAGAUAUCGGGAAGAACACCAGUGGCGAAGGCGCUCUGCUGGGCCAUAACUGACGCUCAUGGACGAAAGCCAGGGGAGCGAAAGGGAUUAGAUACCCCUGUAGUCCUGGCCGUAAACGAUGAACACUAGGUGUCGGGGGAAUCGACCCCCUCGGUGUCGUAGCCAACGCGUUAAGUGUUCCGCCUGGGGAGUACGCACGCAAGUGUGAAACUC
rnacentral:rRNA from 1 species